rnacentral:rRNA from 1 species
AAUCAACGCUGGCGGCGUGCCUAACACAUGCAAGUCGAACGCGAAAGCGUCUUCGGACGUGAGUAGAGUGGCGUCCGGGUGAGUAACACGUAGGUAAUCUACCUUCGGGUGGGGAAUAACGCCUCGAAAGAGGCGCUAAUACCGCAUAACGCAGCGGCAGCUAAUGCUGAUUAGUUGUUAAAGCGGGGGACCGAGAGAUCGGCCUCGCGCCUGAAGAGGAGCCUGCGGCAGAUUAGCUAGUUGGCGGGGUAACGGCCCACCAAGGCGAUGACGCGUAACUGGUCUGAGAGGACGGCCAGUCACAUCGGGACUGAGACACUGCCCGGACUCCUACGGGGGGCGUGCAGUAACGAAUCUUCCCCAAUGCGCGCAAGCGUGAGGGAGC